GCUUUCGUGGUGUAGUGGUCUGAAUACUUGAUGCGUAAGCGAAAGGUCCGUGGUUCGAUUCCCGGCGAAGGCG
rnacentral:tRNA from 1 species